CAGCAGCCGCGGGAAUACGUAGGGUGCGAGCGUUAAUCGGAAUUACUGGGCGUAAAGCGUGCGCAGGCGGUGAUGUAAGACAGAUGUGAAAUCCCCGGGCUCAACCUGGGAACUGCAUUAGUGACUGCAUCGCUGGAGUGCGGCAGAGGGGGAUGGAAUUCCGCGUGUAGCAGUGAAAUGCGUAGAUAUGCGGAGGAACACCGAUGGCGAAGGCAAUCCCCUGGGCCUGCACUGACGCUCAUGCACGAAAGCGUGGGGAGCAAACAGGAUUAGAUACCCCCGUAGUCCCUGUCUCUUAUAC
rnacentral:rRNA from 1 species